rnacentral:piRNA from 1 species
UAGCAUCAGAUGUGCCAGGACAGCGGAU